rnacentral:misc_RNA from 1 species
AGGAAAACGCAAGGGUGAAGAGUUCAGGUGAUGGUUUCAGUGGCAUGGUUGGUUUGCUGUGGACGUAGUUUGUCACCAGAGAGAGUUUUCUUCUUUGAAGCCUGGGUCCAGUUUGUGUUUGUUUAUCCUUGUAUUUGAAAGCUGUACACUCUCAGAGUCCCUACUGUUGGUCGUUGGAGCCUUUUCUUUUCUUUUAGUUUCUUUCUUUUCAUAUCAGUUUGGAUAGUAAUUGCUUUCACUGUCUGCUUUGAAGGGCAAUGUUUAUUAUUGCACUU